CCUACGGGUGGCAGCAGUAGGGAAUUUUGCGCAAUGGGCGAAAGCCUGAAGCAGCAACAUCGCGUGCAUGUUAAGCCCUUCGGGGUGUAAAGUUCUGUCAAUAGGGACGAAUAUAGACUGUACGUAUAAAGGAAGCAACGGACAACUCCGUGACAGCAGCCGCGGUAAUACGGGGGGGGCAGGCGUUGUCCGGAAUCAUUGGGCGUAAAGCGUAAGUAGGCGGCAAGUGAAGUCUGAUGUUAAAGCCCGGGGCUCAACUCCGGUUCGGCAUUGGAUACUAUCUAGCUAGAAUGUGGUAGAGGUACAGGGAAUUCCUGGUGUAGCGGUGAAAUGCGUAGAUAUCAGGAGGAACAUCGGUGGCGAAGGCGCUUUACUGGACCAUUAUUGACGCUGAGGAUCGAAGGCCAGGGUAUCAAAUGGGAUUAGAUACCCCGGUAGUC
rnacentral:rRNA from 1 species